UUUGAGAAGAACUGUGGACAAGACCGCAUCUGUGAAGGGGACCUGAGUGUCAAUCUCAGCUCUUCCGGCCUGCAGACUUUGGUGGUAGGGAGCUCCGUGGAGCUUAAUGUGACAGUGACUCUGUGGAAUGACGGUGAGGAUUCCUAUGGAACUGUCAUCAACUUCUACUACCCAGCAGGGCUGUCCUAUCGACGAGUGUUAGGAAUCCAGCAACCACACCAGCGUUCACUGCGCCUGGCAUGUGAGGCAGGGCCCACGGAGAAUGAGAGACUGAGGAACAGCAGCUGUAGCAUCAACCAUCCCAUCUUCCACGAGGGCACUAAGGGCACCUUCCUAAUCACAUUUGAUGUCUCCUACAAGGCUGCCCUAGGUGACAAGUUGCUUCUGAGGGCCAAUGC